AAUGUGAGACUAUCAGCAGUAGAUUGCUUUUAGCGAAGUGAAGUAAUAAGUUUUUAUAGAACUAGAUAAUUUGCACCACAUAUCCUGUUUCAAUAUUGAUAAGAGUGGAAGGAAUAAACACUUCAUAAUAGAACAAAUUCACACCUGGACUAAGAAUAGAGUUCGCGGGAAAUGAUUCACACCGCAUAUAUCCUGCUUUUAUUUUUAUUAGAGUGGAAGGAAUAGAGGAAACAUUGUUUUGUGUGAAUGAGAUAAUAGGAUGUUUUUCCUAAUCAUUGAAUGGAAAGGAUAUGCGGUCAAGAAGUGGAGCAAUUUUUAGAACAGGAAACCAUAAACAGCUUUACUCGCAAACUUAUUAUUUAUAAACUUUUCUCAUUGGAAAUAUACAUAUUAUCUCCUAACGAUAAAGUCGGCUUAUCCAUAAGGAAAUAUCCCACACAAUCCCGUUUUUUUUUUUUUUUUUUUGCAUGUUGGGGAGAUAAAUCUUCUUCAAUGUGUUAGAAGCUCUCACACACUCAGUAGUGAUGUCACUAUACUUAGAGUUGGAAGAACUCCUGAAUUGGUUAACAUUGAUGAUGAAGCGCUAGCUGAGAUUAAUAGUAUUGGUUUGGAGGAGUGGUUGAGGCGACUGGAUGCACCGGUCGCUUCUCCACCACCAGCAUCCCCACCAGCAGCAUCUCCACCGCCAGCCGUCCAACCACCGGCAGCAUCUCCACCACCAGCCAUCCAACCACUGGCAUCAUCCCCACCGGGACUUUAUUUGCACUGUAUUUUAUUCUAUAUUCCAUGUUUCAUAUCCAAUUAUUCUGUAUGUCUAUAUCAUUCUAUAUUCGCACUAUAUAUUUUAUUCUGUAUUUCUAUAUUCCAUGUUUCAUAUCCAAUUAUAUGAUUAUUAUUAUCCAA